UACGUAGGGUCCAAGCGUUAUCCGGAAUCACUGGGCGUAAAGCGUGCGUAGGUGGCGUGUUAAGUGUGAUGUUAAAUCGUGGGGCUCAACCCUGUCGGUGCAUCACAUACUGGCAUGCUAGAGGGAAGCAGAGGCAAGUGGAAUUUGUAGUGUAGCAGUGAAAUGCGUAGAUAUUACAAGGAACACCAAUGGCGAAGGCAGCUUGCUGGGCUUCUUCUGACACUGAGGUACGAAAGCGUGGGGAGCGAACAGG
rnacentral:rRNA from 1 species